rnacentral:rRNA from 1 species
UAGGGAAUCUUCCACAAUGGACGCAAGUCUGAUGGAGCAACGCCGCGUGAGUGAAGAAGGUUUUCGGAUCGUAAAGCUCUGUUGUUGGUGAAGAAGGAUAGAGGCAGUAACUGGUCUUUAUUUGACGGUAAUCAACCAGAAAGUCACGGCUAACUACGUGCCAUCAGCCGCGGUAAUACGUAGGUGGCAAGCGUUGUCCGGAUUUAUUGGGCGUAAAGCGAGCGCAGGCGGAAUGGUAAGUCUGAUGUGAAAGCCCACGGCUCAACCGUGGAACUGCAUCGGAAACUGUCAUUCUUGAGUGCAGAAGAGGAGAGUGGAAUUCCAUGUGUAGCGGUGGAAUGCGUAGAUAUAUGGAAGAACACCAGUGGCGAAGGCGGCUCUCUGGUCUGCAACUGACGCUGAGGCUCGAAAGCAUGGGUAGCGAACAGG